rnacentral:snRNA from 1 species
AUUGCUUCUUGGCCUUUUAGCUAAGACCAAGUGUAGUAUCUGCUCUUAUCAGUUCUAAGAAAUAAAAAAAAAAAUUGGUUCAUUCAUUAUCAAAAAGUAAUCUUUAAACCUGGAAACUAU